rnacentral:rRNA from 1 species
AGAGUUUGAUCCUGGCUCAGGACGAACGCUGGCGGCGUGCCUAACACAUGCAAGUCGAACGGAGUUGAAAGGAGCUUGCUUUUUUCAACUCAGUGGCGGACGGGUGAGUAACGCGUGAGUAACCUGCCUUUCAGAGGGGGAUAACGUUCUGAAAAGAACGCUAAUACCGCAUAAGAUUGUAGUUUCGCAUGGGACAGCAAUCAAAGGAGCAAUCCGCUGAAAGAUGGACUCGCGUCCGAUUAGAUAGUUGGCGGGGUAACGGCCCACCAAGUCGACGAUCGGUAGCCGGACUGAGAGGUUGAUCGGCCACAUUGGGACUGAGACACGGCCCAGACUCCUACGGGAGGCAGCAGUGAGGGAUAUUGGGCAAUGGGGGAAACCCUGACCCAGCAACGCCGCGUGAGGGAUGACGGUUUUCGGAUUGUAAACCUCUGUCCUCUGUGAAGAUAGUGACGGUAGCAGAGGAGGAAGCUCCGGCUAACUACGUGCCAGCAGCCGCGGUAAUACGUAGGGAGCAAGCGUUGUCCGGAUUUACUGGGUGUAAAGGGUGCGUAGGCGGAUUGGCAAGUCAGAAGUGAAAUCCAUGGGCUUAACCCAUGAACUGCUUUUGAAACUGUUAGUCUUGAGUGAAGUAGAGGUAGGCGGAAUUCCCGGUGUAGCGGUGAAAUGCGUAGAGAUCGGGAGGAACACCAGUGGCGAAGGCGGCCUACUGGGCUUUAACUGACGCUGAGGCACGAAAGUGUGGGUAGCAAACAGGAUUAGAUACCCUGGUAGUCCACACUGUAAACGAUGAUUACUAGGUGUGGGGGGUCUAACCCCCUCCGUGCCGGAGUUAACACAAUAAGUAAUCCACCUGGGGAGUACGACCGCAAGGUUGAAACUCAAAGGAAUUGACGGGGGCCC